GACGAACGCUGGCGGCGUGCUUAACACAUGCAAGUCGAACGGAAAGGCCCUUCGGGGUGCUCGAGUGGCGAACGGGUGAGUAACACGUGGGUGAUCUGCCCUGCACUUUGGGGUAAGCCUGGGAAACUGGGUCUAAUACCGAAUAUGAUCAUCAGCUUCAUGGUUGGUGGUGGAAAGCUUUUGCGGUGUGGGAUGGGCCCGCGGCCUAUCAGCUUGUUGGUGGGGUAAUGGCCUACCAAGGCGACGACGGGUAGCCGGCCUGAGAGGGUGACCGGCCACACUGGGACUGAGAUACGGCCCAGACUCCUACGGGAGGCAGCAGUGGGGAAUAUUGCACAAUGGGCGCAAGCCUGAUGCAGCGACGCCGCGUGAGGGAUGACGGCCUUCGGGUUGUAAACCUCUUUCAGCACAGACGAAGCGCAAGUGACGGUAUGUGCAGAAGAAGGACCGGCCAACUGCGUGCCAGCAGCCGCCGUAAGAC
rnacentral:rRNA from 1 species